rnacentral:rRNA from 1 species
UACGUAGGGGGCGAGCGUUGUCCGGAAUUAUUGGGCGUAAAGCGCGUGCAGGCGGUUUGUUAAGUUCGUGGUGAAAGACCGGGGCUCAACCCCGGAGCGUCCGCGAAGACUGGCAGACUGGAGUGUCGGAGAGGAGUGCGGAAUACCUGGUGUAGCGGUGGAAUGCGUAGAGAUCAGGUGGAACACCGAUGGCGAAGGCAGCACUCUGGCCGAAUACUGACGCUGAGACGCGAAAGCGUGGGGAGCGAACGGG